rnacentral:rRNA from 1 species
UCUGGUUGAUCCUGCCAGUAGUCAUAUGCUUGUCUCAAAGAUUAAGCCAUGCAUGUCUAAGUACAAACCUUAAUACGGUGAAACCGCGAAUGGCUCAUUAAAUCAGCUAUGGUUCCUUAGAUCGUCUCAUCCUACUCGGAUAACUGUGGAAAAUCUAGAGCUAAUACGUGCUUACAAGCCCUGACCUCACGGGAGGGGGCGCAUUUAUUAGAUCAAAACCAAUCGGGGCUUGCCCCGUCUGCUUGGUGACUCUGGAUAACUUUUGUGCUGAUCGCAUGGCCUCUGCGCUGGCGACGUAUCUUUCAAGUGUCUGCCCUAUCAACUUACGAUGGUAGGUGAUAUGCCUACCAUGGUUAUAACGGGUAACGGGGAAUCAGGGUUCGAUUCCGGAGAGGGAGCCUGAGAAACGGCUACCACAUCUAAGGAAGGCAGCAGGCGCGCAAAUUACCCACUCCCGGCACGGGGAGGUAGUGACGAAAAAUAACGAUACGGGACUCUUUUGAGGCCCCGUAAUUGGAAUGAGUACACUUUAAAUCCGUUAACAAGUAUCUAUUGGAGGGCAAGUCUGGUGCCAGCAGCCGCGGUAAUUCCAGCUCCAAUAGCGUAUAUUAAUGUUGCUGCAGUUAAAAAGCUCGUAGUUGGAUCUGAGGACUCGAAUUGGUGGUGCACCAUAUACGGUGUUACUGCCGAUUCGGCCUACCUAGUCGGUGCUCGCUCUUGGUGUUCUUAAUUGAAUGCCCUGAGUGCCCGGCAAGUUUACUUUGAAAAAAUUAGAGUGCUCAAAGCAGGCCAUUAGCCGGAAUACUUCAGCAUGGAAUAAUGGAAUAGGACUUCGGUUCUAUUUUGUUGGUUUUCGGAACCCGAGGUAAUGAUUAAGAGAGACAGACGGGGGCAUUCGUACUGCGGUGUUAGAGGUGAAAUUCUUGGAUCGCCGCAAGACGAACAACUGCGAAAGCAUUUGCCAAGAAUGUUUUCAUUAAUCAAGAACGAAAGUCAGAGGUUCGAAGACGAUCAGAUACCGUCCUAGUUCUGACCAUAAACGAUGCCAACUGGCGAUCCGAGAUCGUUUGCUUAUUGACCUCUCGGGCAGCCUCCGGGAAACCAAAGUUUUUAGGUUCCGGGGGAAGUAUGGUUGCAAAGCUGGAACUGCUAACUGUUCCAAAGUACCAAUGGUCGGGUUACUUGGUCUGUUCUGGCCCGGAGUCGGUAGGGUUUCCGGCCUUGUGCUCUUUCCUUACUGUUCUCUGUAACGCCGAAGGCGGGGCUUCCACGGUGGGGAAGCGGUUGUACAAAUCCGGCAAAUCCAGCCAAAUGGGUUCCGGACUCUGUCCAACCUGCAACUGGUAACAGCCUCGGCUGGCUAACAUUUGAGCUGGGACUCGCUUGGGAGGAGCGAGGAUAAUAUAAACCUCUAUGUGACUGAGGUGAGGAAUCUGGUUCUCGUAAAAUGGCUGGAGAUCCCGAGCCUGUAAGUCAUAAAUUAGUUCCCCACGAGGGGAGGUGUCGAAUUGAAGCCAGUGCGUGCCCUUACUAGUUUAAGGGAUUGUAUACUUCCUUUGGUGUACCCACCUGGAACCCAAGGGGCACUCCAUCCCCGAUUGGAGUCAGGUGACGGCUCCUUACCUCACCAGACGCGGCCGGACCCCGGAAG